rnacentral:rRNA from 1 species
GACGAACGCUGGCGGCGUGCUUAACACAUGCAAGUCGAACGGAAAGGCCCUGCUAUUGUGGGGUGCUCGAGUGGCGAACGGGUGAGUAACACGUGAGUAACCUGCCCUUGACUUUGGGAUAACUUCAGGAAACUGGGGCUAAUACCGGAUAGGAGCUCCUGCUGCAUGGUGGGGGUUGGAAAGUCUCGGCGGUUGGGGAUGGACUCGCGGCUUAUCAGCUUGUUGGUGGGGUAGUGGCUUACCAAGGCUUUGACGGGUAGCCGGCCUGAGAGGGUGACCGGCCACAUUGGGACUGAGAUACGGCCCAGACUCCUACGGGAGGCAGCAGUGGGGAAUAUUGCACAAUGGGCGGAAGCCUGAUGCAGCAACGCCGCGUGCGGGAUGACGGCCUUCGGGUUGUAAACCGCUUUCGCCUGUGACGAAGCGUGAGUGACGGUAAUGGGUAAAGAAGCACCGGCUAACUACGUG